rnacentral:rRNA from 1 species
GAUGAACGCUGGCGGCGUGCCUAAUACAUGCAAGUCGAGCGAACGGACGAGAAGCUUGCUUCUCUGAUGUUAGCGGCGGACGGGUGAGUAACACGUGGAUAACCUACCUAUAAGACUGGGAUAACUUCGGGAAACCGGAGCUAAUACCGGAUGAUAUUUUGAACCGCAUGGUUCAAAAGUGAAAGACGGUCUUGCUGUCGCUUAUAGAUGGAUCCGCGCUGCAUUAGCUAGUUGGUAAGGUAACGGCUUACCAAGGCAACGAUGCAUAGCCGACCUGAGAGGGUGAUCGGCCACACUGGAACUGAGACACGGUCCAGACUCCUACGGGAGGCAGCAGUAGGGAAUCUUCCGCAAUGGGCGAAAGCCUGACGGAGCAACGCCGCGUGAGUGAUGAAGGUCUUCGGAUCGUAAAACUCUGUUAUUAGGGAAGAACAUAUGUGUAAGUAACUGUGCACAUCUUGACGGUACCUAAUCAGAAAGCCACGGCUAACUACGU